AUAAUACUCCCUCCGUCCGGAAAUACUUGUCGGAGGAAUGGAUGUAUCUAGACGUAUUUUAGUUCUAGAUACAUCCAUUUUUAUGCAUUUCUUCGACAAGUAUUUCCGGACGGAGGGAGUACGUC
rnacentral:pre_miRNA from 1 species